rnacentral:rRNA from 1 species
GACGAACGCUGGCGGCGUGCCUAAUACAUGCAAGUUGAGCGCUGAAGGUUGGUACUUGUACCAACUGGAUGAGCAGCGAACGGGUGAGUAACGCGUGGGGAAUCUGCCUUUGAGCGGGGGACAACGUUUGGAAACGAAUGCUAAUACCGCAUAAAAACUUUAAACACAAGUUUUAAGUUUGAAAGAUGCAAUUGCAUCACUCAAAGAUGAUCCCGCGUUGUAUUAGCUAGUUGGUGAGGUAAAGGCUCACCAAGGCGAUGAUACAUAGCCGACCUGAGAGGGUGAUCGGCCACAUUGGGACUGAGACACGGCCCAAACUCCUACGGGAGGCAGCAGUAGGGAAUCUUCGGCAAUGGACGAAAGUCUGACCGAGCAACGCCGCGUGAGUGAAGAAGGUUUUCGGAUCGUAAAACUCUGUUGGUAGAGAAGAACGUUGGUGAGAGUGGAAAGCUCAUCAAGUGACGGUAACUACCCAGAAAGGGACGGCUAACUACGUG